GAUGAACGCUGGCGGCGUGCCUAAUACAUGCAAGUCGAGCGAACAGACGAGGAGCUUGCUCCUCUGACGUUAGCGGCGGACGGGUGAUUAACACGUGGAUAACCUACCUAUAAGACUGGGAUAACUUCGGGAAACCGGAGCUAAUACCGGAUAAUAUAUUGAACCGCAUGGUUCAUUAGUGAAAGACGGUUUUGCUGUCACUUAUACAUGGAUCCGCGCCGCAUUAGCUAGUUGGUAAGGUAACGGCUUACCAAGGCAACGAUGCGUAGCCGACCUGAGAGGGUGAUCGGCCACACUGGAACUGAGACACGGUCCAGACUCCUACGGGAGGCAGCAGUAGGGAAUCUUGCGCAAUGGGCGAAAGCCUGACGGAGCAACGCCGCGUGAGUGAUGAAGGUCUUCGGAUCGUAAAACUCUGUUAUUCGGGAAGAACAAAUGUGUAAGUAACUAUGCACGUCUUGACGGUACCUAAUCAGAAAGCCACGGCUAACUACGUG
rnacentral:rRNA from 1 species